rnacentral:rRNA from 1 species
UACGUAGGGUGCAAGCGUUGUCCGGAAUUAUUGGGCGUAAAGAGCUCGUAGGCGGUCUGUCGCGUCUGCUGUGAAAACUCGGGGCUUAACCCCGGGCCUGCAGUGGGUACGGGCAGACUAGAGUGCGGUAGGGGAGACUGGAAUUCCUGGUGUAGCGGUGAAAUGCGCAGGUAUCAGGAGGAACACCGGUGGCGAAGGCGGGUCUCUGGGCCGAUACUGACGCUGAGGAGCGAAAGCGUGGGGAGCGAACAGG